GGGGCAGGGCUAGCACCAAGCUUUGGCCAGCCCGGGCUGCCUCGCUUCAGAAUUCAGUUUCUAACCCCUCUGCCACCGGAAGCCGUGGAGCCUGAGGGCUGAGCCGACCAGUGGCAUCACGUUAGCAUCCCAGCUCUCUCAGGUGCCAGCCGUGUGACCCCGGACAAACUACGCAACCUCUCUGAGCUCAGUUCCCUCCUCUGUGAAAUGAAGCUAAGAGUAAAGCCUACUUCACAAGGAGUAAAUGAGACGCACCAAGUUCUCAGCGCGGCGCUGGGCACGUAGCAAACCCUGGUGAUGGUGGUAGGUGGUAACCGUGGGGAUAAGGAUAAAGGUAGCAAACAGUAACCAUGGUGAUGGCUGAAUGUGGUGAUGAUGGUGAUGAUGAUUUAAUGCUUGCUGACCGAGUGAACAAUGCAGGAGGAAAAGGGGGCUAUUAUCAGUUUCUAGAAGACUCCAGACAUGAUAAACUGGGUGUUGGAGGAAGAGGAAAUGGCAGCCGCAGGUCAGUGACCGUCCAUCCGGAGACCAGAGAGGAGAGAGUGGGGUAGGAUCCCAGGCGCAAGGGAAUGUGGCCAGCAGAGGGGGAGUGGGGGGAAGGAAAAAGCAAGCAAAUCAGGCAGGGGCCCUGGAGUUGGUGAAAGGGCUUGGUCUGUUUGUUCCACAAUUAGAAACGGGCUCUUGUCCCUGCCGGAGCAGGAAGCUUUUGUUUGGCAGGAGGAGGAAGAGCCGGGCCGCACCGAGAGGAGCCCCCAGUGCCACAUGUUCUGAGUUCCUCCUACCACGCCUGCCAGAGCCCAGGUGGGCGUGGGGCCCGAGGAAGCCCUUGCCACCCAGCGAGUGGGGCUCCAGAGGCCGGGCACUACCACCGGGAGAGGUGACAGCUGUCAGCACCGAGGAGAAGAACAUUCUGAGGCCCAAGAAUAGCCCGACCGCAAGACAGGGAGGCUCUGUCUCUGAAGCAUCGCCCUCCUCCCUGGAGCAGAAAAGCCGCAUGUUUGGAGACCCCGAGGUUUCCUGGAACCGCCAGGAGAAGAGGCUGUACCCCAGCUGAUGUUGGCGACAAGAAAGCAAGACUUGUGCAAGCACCAUUAGAAGGCAGUGCAUGCUUUUACUAUGCACGCGAGACCCCGGGCCAUAAGGAAGUGUUGGCAGAGCCUGGAUCCCACCGCAAACUUCAGAAAGCACAGGGAAACUUCAGAUAUACCCCAGUGCUUACUUACAUCCUUCUAUUUUGGAGAUAAACAUGAUCGUCAGUGAUUCAGGGGAGAAAAAAGCGACCGUUCAGCCUGAUGGUCGAGACGAUCGCUGCUGACACUGUGUUCAUACCGAUUUUAUUCCCAGCGGCCGAAAGGUGGAAACAACCCAACUGCCCGUCAACAGGGGAGUGGAAAAACAGAAUGUGGUGUGUUCGUACAGCAAAAUACUAUUCAGCCACCCGAAGAAAUGAAAUCUUGAUAGAUGCUACAGAGUGGGUGGGCCUGGGAAAUGUGACACUAGGGGAAAUAAACCAGACGCAGAAGGACAAAUAUUGCACGCUCGCUUCCAUUAACGUGAGGUGCCUAAAAUGAGCAAAUUCAGAGAGACAGAAAAUA